GAUGAACGCUGGCGGCGUGCCUAAUACAUGCAAGUCGAGCGAACAGACGAGGAGCUUGCUCCUCUGACGUUAGCGGCGGACGGGUGAGUAACACGUGGAUAACCUACCUAUAAGACUGGGAUAACUUCGGGAAACCGGAGCUAAUACCGGAUAAUCUAUUGCACCGCAUGGUUCAAUAGUGAAAGACGGUUUUGCUGUCACUUAUAGAUGGAUCCGCGCCGCAUUAGCUAGUUGGUAAGGUAACGGCUUACCAAGGCGACGAUGCGUAGCCGACCUGAGAGGGUGAUCGGCCACACUGGAACUGAGACACGGUCCAGACUCCUACGGGAGGCAGCAGUAGGGAAUCUUCCGCAAUGGGCGAAAGCCUGACGGAGCAACGCCGCGUGAGUGAUGAAGGUCUUCGGAUCGUAAAACUCUGUUAUUAGGGAAGAACAAAUGUGUAAGUAACUAUGCACGUCUUGACGGUACCUAAUCAGAAAGCCACGGCUAACUACGUG
rnacentral:rRNA from 1 species